rnacentral:rRNA from 1 species
GACGAACGCUGGCGGUGCGCCUAACACAUGCAAGUCGAACGGUGAACGAGGGAGCUUGCUCCCUCCGGAUCAGUGGCGAACGGGUGAGUAACACGUGAGCAAUCUGCCCUGGACUCUGGGAUAAGCGUUGGAAACGACGUCUAAUACCGGAUACGAGGCGUGGGGGCAUCCCCAACGCCUGGAAAGAACUUCGGUCCAGGAUGAGCUCGCGGCCUAUCAGCUUGUUGGUGAGGUAACGGCUCACCAAGGCGACGACGGGUAGCCGGCCUGAGAGGGUGACCGGCCACACUGGGACUGUGACACGGCCCAGACUCCUACGGGAGGCAGCAGUGGGGAAUAUUGCACAAUGGGCGCAAGCCUGAUGCAGCAACGCCGCGUGAGGGACGACGGCCUUCGGGUUGUAAACCUCUUUUAGCAGGGAAGAAGCGAAAGUGACGGUACCUGCAGAAAAAGCACCGGCUAACUACGUGCCAGCCGCCGCGGUAACAC